UACGUAGGGUGCAAGCGUUGUCCGGAAUUAUUGGGCGUAAAGAGCUCGUAGGCGGUCUGUCGCGUCUGCUGUGAAAACUCGGGGCUUAACCCCGGGCCUGCAGUGGGUACGGGCAGACUAGAGUGCGGUAGGGGAGACUGGAAUUCCUGGUGUAGCGGUGAAAUGCGCAGAUAUCAGGAGGAACACCGGUGGCGAAGGCGGCUACCUGGACAGAGUCUGACGCUGAGGCACGAAAGCUAGGGGAGCAAACAGG
rnacentral:rRNA from 1 species